UAGGGAAUCUUCCGCAAUGGACGAAAGUCUGACGGAGCAACGCCGCGUGAGCGAAGAAGGUCUUCGGAUCGUAAAGCUCUGUUGUUAGGGAAGAACAAGUAUCGGAGGAAAUGCCGGUACCUUGACGGUACCUGACGAGAAAGCCACGGCUAACUACGUGCCAGCAGCCGCGGUAAUACGUAGGUGGCAAGCGUUGUCCGGAAUUAUUGGGCGUAAAGCGCGCGCAGGCGGUCCUUUAAGUCUGAUGUGAAAUCUUGCGGCUCAACCGCAAGCGGUCAUUGGAAACUGGGGACUUGAGUGCAGAAGAGGAAAGCGGAAUUCCACGUGUAGCGGUGAAAUGCGUUAGAGAUGUGGAGGAACACCAGUGGCGAAGGCGGCUUUCUGGUCUGUAACUGACGCUGAGGCGCGAAAAGCGUGGGAGCAAAACA
rnacentral:rRNA from 1 species